GUCAGGCGGAGAGGUUUGUGAAUCCAGGAUUACUAGGGUGGGAGAGGGGCUGUGAUGGAACAGAAUGUCUAACAGACUAGGAAUCACAACAUCUGGGUUUGGGCCCAGUUUGGUUUUUUAAACAUUAUUAUUUUUUUCUUUUUUCUUUUUUUUUUUUUAACUGAGAGAGACAGCCAACACGUGGGCCCAGGUUUUGCCCUUCACUGGCCGCAUGGCCUUGGGCAAAUCACUUGAUCACUUGAGUCUCUGCUGUCACACCUGGAAAACCCUAUGCUGCAGGGAGCUGCGCAAGUCAAACGAGGCAGAGGCUGGCAGAGGCUGCUGUAAACUAUCCCUAUGAAGGAAGGAGUGAAGAUGGAUAUAGGG
rnacentral:lncRNA from 10 species